UAGGGAAUCUUCGGCAAUGGGGGGAACCCUGACCGAGCAACGCCGCGUGAGUGAAGAAGGUUUUCGGAUCGUAAAGCUCUGUUGUUAAGGAAGAACGAGUGUGAGAAUGGAAAGUUCAUACUGUGACGGUACUUAACCAGAAAGGGACGGCUAACUACGUGCCAGCAGCCGCGGUAAUACGUAGGUCCCGAGCGUUGUCCGGAUUUAUUGGGCGUAAAGCGAGCGCAGGCGGUUAGAUAAGUCUGAAGUUAAAGGCAGUUGCUCAACCAUUGUAGGCUUUGGAAACUGUUUAACUUGAGUGCAGAAGGGGAGAGUGGAAUUCCAUGUGUAGCGGUGAAAUGCGUAGAUAUAUGGAGGAACACCAGUGGCGAAGGCGACUCUCUGGUCUGUAACUGACGCUGAGGCUCGAAAGCGUGGGUAGCAAACAGG
rnacentral:rRNA from 1 species